rnacentral:lncRNA from 1 species
ACAAUAAAAAAUUAAAAUGCCAAAAUAUGUGUCUGAACAUUUCCGUUUCAAGGGCAAUAUUUCAAAUAACUUUUUUGAUAGCUGCAAUUAUUUUGAAUAGUUUCAAACUUAGUCACCAAAGCCACUUCGUGAUAUUAAAAAACAACAUCAUAAAGUAAUAAUAGUUUUAUUUCGCUCUCAAAAAUUAACUAAGGCAUAUUAUCAUGUUGGCAUGAGUCCAAAAAGAAAAUGCUCAGGAGACAUGGUUCUGAUUGAAAAAUAAUGUUUUUGGAAAAGUUACUCACGAAAUUAUUGCACAGGGUGUUUUAAAGGGUGCUCCUUAAUGACAUGCUAAUAUUUAAGGGCGCGAUUCCUGGACCUAUUCUAAGAGAAAAACUUAGUAUGAACAUGUAUGUUUGUAUGUCCUAAACAUCUUAAUUUCUGAGAUACAGAGUGAUAUCUUUAUGACACUUGAUAUACAUACGUCUUCUAUGCAUCAAAAGGUGGGUUCGAGUAGACGAUCGGAGUAAACGGAGUAUACUUAUGCGCUUUUUUUUUGACAAUCGGGCAGUACACUGCUGCGUUUUAUUUGAAACUCUACGAGCGUUUGGAGUGUACUCGAUCUGCACCAUGUUAAGAAGAGGAGCACGGCGAUUUUUUUUAAUUUCCCGCCAUAUUUUAGUUUGUUUUUGAGUACUUACAAUCUUGUGUAUGUGUUUUGUGACUUACAAGUUCAAUAUGAGUUCAAUCUUUGAAACAGUUAUGCUAUGUAGACUAUGUAGAAAAUGAAGUAUAGAGAAAACCUAAAACCCACUUUCUACCGUUUAGUCAAUAUUAUUUGUUGUGUGAGUUUAUACAUACUUAUAAGGCAAAUUGUGAUCUGUGACAAAACAAACUUUGAAAUGUUUCAAAAUAAGUUGUCUGGUGUAGAGGAGGAAUUUGCCACAUGUGGUGAAUGUGGUGUAGAAGGUCCCCUUGGGGAAAUACAAACACAUUUUCUCCAACACUUCGAUAUUGUAGAAAAUGAAACAGAGAAUCAUAGUCAGUAUUAUUUACAUAUUAGCAAGUAGUAGAUAAUUCAUAAUUAUUUUUAAUUUGUAACCUUUCUUUAGAUAUUAAUGCAACACAAGAGCAAAGACAAGAGUCUAAAAAUAAGGAUGAUGGCCACCGAGCACUGUUUUAUUAUUAGUAAGAUUAAUUGAAAACAGUUAUGGCUCGUUUGACAAUACAAUGAAACAAAUUGUGUGGCAGAAAAUUGCCUUACAAUUGUCUAACCAUACGAAGAAGAGUUUCACGGCCGAACAACUAGACACGAAGUGGAAGGGUUUAAAAAGUACAUAUAAAAAAAUUAAAUAUCAUAACAACCAAACAGGGGCAAGUAGAAAGACAUGGCAGUUUUUUAAUGUUAUGGAUUCUUUUUUGAGUACGAAACCUGAAUAUAAGGCACCUGCUACAUGUAGCUCGACAGCAGGUUUAACAGUCAGUAAAGAAAUUGAAGAUACCAGCAAUACCAGUUAUACCACAGAUAACGUCCAUCAACUUCAAAUUCUGAUGCUGUCACGAAAAGGAGAAGAACUGAAAAUUCAGUUGAAAAUCGUCACAAGGACAAAAUGCGUUGACUAGAUAGAUUUCUCGACUUGUAACAGGCGGCUGUAGAGCACCAGAUAGGUAAAAAAAAUACAUGACAGUAGUGAAGAAUCUAAUUAGAAAUUUAAGAAUUCAAAAUGUUCAGUUAGAAUUAGUGUUGUUUAAGUAAAAUUGUUACUUCCUAAUUAUUUUAUAAUAGAAAAUGU